CCACCUGGACGUCAAAUGAUUGCCAUCAGAAAGAGACAACUUGAAGAAAUCAACAAUGACUAUGAAACAGCUGACGGUGGCUACAUGACUCUGAACCCCAGGGCACCUACUGACGAUGAUAAAAACAUCUACCUGACUCUUCCUCCCAACGACCAUGUCAACAGGCUGUAUUGAUUAGGGUGUAGACCGAACUUUCCGGGGUCUGUUUCUUUUCGGUGAUGAAAGUCUUGAGGAGGUAGUAAUGGAUAAGAUGUGAAAGAGAGGAGAGAUGGAGAUUUGGAGUGUAGG
rnacentral:sRNA from 1 species